UGGGGAAUUUUGGACAAUGGGCGCAAGCCUGAUCCAGCCAUGCCGCGUGCGGGAAGAAGGCCUUCGGGUUGUAAACCGCUUUUGUCAGGGAAGAAAUCCUUUGGGCUAAUACCCCGGGGGGAUGACGGUACCUGAAGAAUAAGCACCGGCUAACUACGUGCCAGCAGCCGCGGUAAUACGUAGGGUGCAAGCGUUAAUCGGAAUUACUGGGCGUAAAGCGUGCGCAGGCGGUUAUGCAAGACAGAUGUGAAAUCCCCGGGCUCAACCUGGGAACUGCAUUUGUGACUGCGUAGCUGGAGUGCGGCAGAGGGGGAUGGAAUUCCGCGUGUAGCAGUGAAAUGCGUAGAUAUGCGGAGGAACACCGAUGGCGAAGGCAAUCCCCUGGGCCUGCACUGACGCUCAUGCACGAAAGCGUGGGGAGCAAACAGGAUUAGAUACCCCGGUGGUCCACGCCGUAAACGAUGGGUGCUAGACGUUGGCGAGCUUGCUCGUCAGUGUCGCAGCUAACGCGUUAAGCACCCCGCCUGGGGAGUACGGCCGCAAGGUUG
rnacentral:rRNA from 1 species